ACGAACGCUGGCGGCGUGGAUAAGACAUGCAAGUCGAACGAGAGAAUUGCUAGCUUGCUAAUAAUUCUCUAGUGGCGCACGGGUGAGUAACACGUGAGUAACCUGCCCCCGAGAGCGGGAUAGCCCUGGGAAACUGGGAUUAAUACCGCAUAGUAUCGAAAGAUUAAAGCAGCAAUGCGCUUGGGGAUGGGCUCGCGGCCUAUUAGUUAGUUGGUGAGGUAACGGCUCACCAAGGCGAUGACGGGUAGCCGGUCUGAGAGGAUGUCCGGCCACACUGGAACUGAGACACGGUCCAGACACCUACGGGUGGCAGCAGUCGAGAAUCAUUCACAAUGGGGGAAACCCUGAUGGUGCGACGCCGCGUGGGGGAAUGAAGGUCUUCGGAUUGUAAACCCCUGUCAUGUGGGAGCAAAUUAAAAAGAUAGUACCACAAGAGGAAGAGACGGCUAACUCUGUGCCAGCAGCCGCGGUAAUACAGAGGUCUCAAGCGUUGUUCGGAAUCACUGGGCGUAAAGCGUGCGUAGGCUGUUUCGUAAGUCGUGUGUGAAAGGCGCGGGCUCAACCCGCGGACGGCACAUGAUACUGCGAGACUAGAGUAAUGGAGGGGGAACCGGAAUUCUCGGUGUAGCAGUGAAAUGCGUAGAUAUCGAGAGGAACACUCGUGGCGAAGGCGGGUUCCUGGACAUUAACUGACGCUGAGGCACGAAGGCCAGGGGAGCGAAAGGGAUUAGAUACCCCUGUAGUCCUGGCAGUAGACGGUGCACGCUUGGUGUGCGGGGAAUCGACCCCCUGCGUGCCGGAGCUAACGCGUUAAGCGUGCCGCCUGGGGAGUACGGUCGCAAGAUUAAAACUCAAAGAAAUUGACGGGGACCCGCACAAGCGGUGGAGUAUGUGGCUUAAUUCGAUGCAACGCGAAGAACCUUACCUGGGCUUGACAUGUAAUGAACAACAUGUGAAAGCAUGCGACUCUUCGGAGGCGUUACACAGGUGCUGCAUGGCCGUCGUCAGCUCGUGUCGUGAGAUGUUUGGUUAAGUCCAGCAACGAGCGCAACCCCUGUUGCCAGUUACCAGCACGUGAAGGUGGGGACUCUGGCGAGACUGCCCAGAUCAACUGGGAGGAAGGUGGGGACGACGUCAGGUCAGUAUGGCCCUUAUGCCCAGGGCUGCACACGUACUACAAUGCCCAGUACAGAGGGGGCCGAAGCCGCGAGGCGGAGGAAAUCCUAAAAACUGGGCCCAGUUCGGACUGUAGGCUGCAACCCGCCUACACGAAGCCGGAAUCGCUAGUAAUGGCGCAUCAGCUACGGCGCCGUGAAUACGUUCCCGGGUCUUGUACACACCGCCCGUCACAUCAUGGAAGCCGGUCGCACCCGAAGUAUCUGAAGCCAACCGCAAGGAGGCAGGGUCCUAAGGUGAGACUGGUAACUGGGAUG
rnacentral:rRNA from 1 species